UGUUAAUGUUACUAAAAAUGU
ensembl:piRNA 21ur-14695 ncRNA